rnacentral:rRNA from 1 species
UAGAGUUUGAUCCUGGCUCAGGAUGAACGCUGGCGGCGUGCUUAACACAUGCAAGUCGAGCGAAGUUAUUUAGUGCUUGCACUGUAAUAACUUAGCGGCGGACGGGUGAGGAACACGUGAGUAAUCUGCCCUUAACAGGGGGAUAACACAAAGAAAUUUGUGCUAAUACCGCAUAAGCUCACGUAGCGGCAUCGUUAAGUGAGAAAAGAUUUAUUGGUUAAGGAGGAGCUCGCGGCUGAUUAGCUAGUUGGUGGGGCAACGGCCUACCAAGGCGACGAUCAGUAGCCGGCCUGAGAGGGUGAACGGCCACAUUGGAACUGAGACACGGUCCAAACUCCUACGGGAGGCAGCAGUGGGGAAUAUUGCACAAUGGGGGGAACCCUGAUGCAGCAACGCCGCGUGAAGGAAGAAGUAUUUCGGUAUGUAAACUUCUAUCGACAGGGAAGAAAUAGAUGACGGUACCUGAAUAAGAAGCCCCGGCUAACUACGCG